UCCGGUUUGGCACCGGCAGUCUCCUCAGAGUUCCCGGCAUGACCCGCUGGCAACUGAGGACAAGGGUUGCGCUCGUUGCGCCACUUAAGGCAACACCUCACGGCACGAGCUGACGACAGCCAUGCACCACCUGUGCGGGCUCCCGAAGGAGCGCCGUGUUUCCACGGUUUCACCCCGCAUGUCAAGCCCAGGUAAGGUUCUUCGCGUUGCAUCGAAUUAAGCCACAUGCUCCACCGCUUGUGCGGGCCCCCGUCAAUUCCUUUGAGUUUCAUUCUUGCGAACGUACUCCCCAGGUGGUGUGCUUACUGCGUUAACUGCGUCACGGACCCGCAAGGGCCCACAACUAGCACACAUCGUUUACAGCGUGGACUAC
rnacentral:misc_RNA from 1 species